CUGGAGGUAUCAGAAGUGCGAAUGCUGACAUAAGUAACGAUAAAGCGGGUGAAAAGCCCGCUCGCCGGAAGACCAAGGGUUCCUGUCCAACGUUAAUCGGGGCAGGGUGAGUCGACCCCUAAGGCGAGGCCGAAAGGCGUAGUCGAUGGGAAACAGGUUAAUAUUCCUGUACUUGGUGUUACUGCGAAGGGGGGACGGAGAAGGCUAUGUUGGCCGGGCGACGGUUGUCCCGGUUUAAGCGUGUAGGCUGGUUUUCCAGGCAAAUCCGGAAAAUCAAGGCUGAGGCGUGAUGACGAGGCACUACGGUGCUGAAGCAACAAAUGCCCUGCUUCCAGGAAAAGCCUCUAAGCAUCAGGUAACAUCAAAUCGUACCCCAAACCGACACAGGUGGUCAGGUAGAGAAUACCAAGGCGCUUGAGAGAACUCGGGUGAAGGAACUAGGCAAAAUGGUGCCGUAACUUCGGGAGAAGGCACGCUGAUAUGUAGGUGAAGUCCCUCGCGGAUGGAGCUGAAAUCAGUCGAAGAUACCAGCUGGCUGCAACUGUUUAUUAAAAACACAGCACUGUGCAAACACGAAAGUGGACGUAUACGGUGUGACGCCUGCCCGGUGCCGGAAGGUUAA
rnacentral:rRNA from 1 species